UACAGAGGUCCCAAGCGUUGUUCGGAUUCACUGGGCGUAAAGGGUGCGUAGGCGGUUCGGCAAGUCGGAUGUGAAAUCUCCACGCUUAACGUGGAGGGGCCAUUCGAAACUGCUGUGACUCGAGUCCGGUAGGGGAGUGUGGAAUUCCCGGUGUAGCGGUGAAUGCGCAGAUAUCGUAAGGAAGACCAGUGGCGAAGGCGGGUCUCGUGGACAGUUCCUGACGCUGAGGCGCGAAAGCCAGGGGAGCAAACGGG
rnacentral:rRNA from 1 species